rnacentral:lncRNA from 1 species
AGGAGGGCUGAGGUGGGAGGGCUGCUUGAUCCCAGGAGGCAGAGGCUGCAGUGAGCCAUGACGGUGCCACUUGCUCCACCCUGGGUGACAGAGCAAGAUCCUGCCUCAAAACAACAACAACAACAAAACCUGAACAUCUCCAUAUUUCCGACACUCAAUUCAAGAAACAAAAUAUUAGAGCCCCUUCCAGGAUAUUCCUGGGGUCUCUUCCAUCUCUACUAACCCCUGACUACAAACAGCCUCCACCUAUUUCACCUGACAUUGUACUUUAUGAAAGCAGCAGUUCUCAGAUGGGGCUAUUUUGCCCCCUGGGGACAUUAGGCAAUAUCUGGGGACAAUGCGGUUUGUCUCUACUUGGGGGGGGUUGUGUUACUGCAUCCAGUGAGUCCAGGGAUCCAGGGAUGCCGUUCAACAUCCUAAAAUGCACAGGGAACCCCCACACAUAGAACAGAGAAAUUGCUGAGCCAAAAUGUCAGCAGUGUCACAGCUGACACGCUGACAUACACACAAUCACACAGUAUCUGCUCUUUCGUGCUCAGGAUCUCUUUCAUUCUAAUCAUCUCAUAGGAAACAGAAAUGUCAUUUGGAGGUAGGUAGAGUCCAAAACAAAGAAGAUCCAGAGUUUUUUUUUUAAUCAGCCUGGUGCCUUUAGAGCUAGGAUUUAUUUUCCAUUCUUUCUGUCUCAUUUUCAAGUGAUUUUUCUUCAAAUGGCAUCUGCUGGGCUCAACACCCAGAGAUCCCCACAAAGCUGAGAUUCACAUGGGAAUUUUGUACACACCCACACAGGUAUACACUGCCAUUUACAUGCAGACAUCCACCCACAGAUACACACAUCCGGAGACCAAGACAGAAAGCAAACUCCAGCAUAAAAGCAUGGUUCCCCGAACAGGAGAAAUGCACCAUUCACUCCAGGGAGGUACCUAUUUGUUUAAUUCAGCCUCUGAUAGUCAGGCUGUUGCCAAGCCCAGCUCUGAAAGUCUUCCCCUCUAGGAAAGAGAGAUGGAUUUUUUCUUUACUCAAUAAUAUAGAUCUAAAAAAAACAAACACUUCUGCAUCUCAAAGCAGGCUCUACCUCCUGAGCUACACAUAUUGAUCAGCAUUUUAUUGUCAAUUUUCUUUUAUUUGAACUGGAGAAAAAUAUAACCUAAUUAUGUUCUUACUGACACUUUGGAAUCAGUUACACUAAAUCCAAUUCUCUGGGUUCUCAUGCUUAAUGUGUUUAAUUUGGGGGACAACAAAGCAAAAGCAUUGGUCGUGUUUUAAUAUAAUCAGUACAGGAUAUAUCUAAGGGGUUCAAGUAUCACUGUAGCAAGAAGCUCAUUCUGCAGUAAAAGGGGGAUUCUGCCACUAGGAUUGAGUUAGGGUGGUUCAUGGCUGCACCAUUUCAUCAAUGUCUCUUCAAGGGUCCAUGGAAUGUGGAAUGGGAAAGACUGAAAUAUUCCAAGUCUUGGCUAAGCUUUUCUUAAGGGGUGUUAGGA